rnacentral:rRNA from 1 species
UACGUAGGGUGCAAGCGUUAAUCGGAAUUACUGGGCGUAAAGCGUGCGCAGGCGGUUUUGUAAGUCAGAUGUGAAAUCCCCGGGCUUAACCUGGGAACUGCGUUUGAAACUACAAGGCUAGAGUGUGGCAGAGGGGGGUGGAAUUCCACGUGUAGCAGUGAAAUGCGUAGAGAUGAUGGAGGAAUACCGAUGGCGAAGGCAGCCCCCUGGGAUAACGACUGACCGCUCAUGCACGAAAGCGUGGGGAGCAAA